CAAAGGUUUGGUCCCAGCCUUAUAGUCAAUUACUACUUGACCUACACAUGCAAGUUUCCGCACCCCUGUGAAAAAGCCCAUAAAUCCUAAUGAAUUUAAGGAGCAGGUAUCAGGCACAACUAUUUGCCCAAGACACCUAGCCAUGCCACACCCACAAGGGAAUCCAGCAGUGACUAAUAUUGAACAUUAACGACAGCUUGAUUCAGUCAAAGUAAACAGAGCCGGCAAAUCUGGUGCCAGCCGCCGCGGCUACACCAGAGACUCAAAUUGACCACCACCGACGUAAAGCGUGAUUAAAGAUUUUAAAAACUAGAGCUAAACCCAGAUUAAACCGUAAAACAUUUAUCUGAGAGAAACGCACAACGAAAGUCGCUCUACCCAUAACAACUUGAACACACGAAAGCAGGAAUACAAACUGGGAUUAGAUACCCCAUUAUGCCUGGCCGUAAACUUUAACUUACACCUUAAUCGUCAGGGAACUACGAGCAAAGCUUAAAACCCAAAGGACUUGACGGUGCCCCAUAUCCCCCUAGAGGAGCCUGUCCUAUAAUCGAUAAUCCCCGUUUAACCUCACCAUAUCUAGCUUAUCAGCCUGUAUACUUCCGUCGCAAGCCUACCACAUGAGCGAAGCUUAGUUAGCCCAACGUCCACACAUAAAUGUGCUUAUGUCGACAAUACGUCAGGUCAAAGUGCAGCAAACGUUAUGGGAUGAGAUUGGCUACACUUUUUAACUUAAAAGAAACGGAAAACAAUAAUGAAACUUUGUCAGAAGGUGGAUUUAGUAGUAAAAGAAAAAUAUAAAAUUUCUUUUAACUCGGCACUGGGGUGUGUACACACCGCCCGUCACCCUCUUCGAAAAUCUUAAAUUAGUACUUAACCAAUUAUCAAAAAUAAAGAGGAGGCAAGUCGUAACAUGGUAAGCGUACCGGAAGGUGUGCUUGGAAA
rnacentral:ncRNA from 1 species